UCGUAACAAGGUCUCCGUUGGUGAACCAGCGGAGGGAUCAUUACCGAGUUUACAACUCCCAAACCCCUGUGAACAUACCAAUUGUUGCCUCGGCGGAUCAGCCCGCUCCCGGUAAAACGGGACGGCCCGCCAGAGGACCCCUAAACUCUGUUUCUAUAUGUAACUUCUGAGUAAAACCAUAAAUAAAUCAAAACUUUCAACAACGGAUCUCUUGGUUCUGGCAUCGAUGAAGAACGCAGCAAAAUGCGAUAAGUAAUGUGAAUUGCAGAAUUCAGUGAAUCAUCGAAUCUUUGAACGCACAUUGCGCCCGCCAGUAUUCUGGCGGGCAUGCCUGUUCGAGCGUCAUUUCAACCCUCAAGCCCAGCUUGGUGUUGGGACUCGCGAGUCAAAUCGCGUUCCCCAAAUUGAUUGGCGGUCACGUCGAGCUUCCAUAGCGUAGUAGUAAAACCCUCGUUACUGGUAAUCGUCGCGGCCACGCCGUUAAACCCCAACUUCUGAAUGUUGACCUCGGAUCAGGUAGGAAUACCCGCUGAACCUAAGCAUAUC
rnacentral:misc_RNA from 2 species